CAUGCGUAGUCCUACAGCCCCGACGUUGGCGUCAGUCAGCACUAAAAUGCUAUCCGGUUAGAUUUCCCCGUCAACGGGUUGUGCCAAAACUGUGCUCUCUGCGCCUUGCUUCCUCUCCACAGCACGAACACGGACGAAAAGAACACCAUGUUAUCCAGAUUUAAAGACGCUACAUUUCAGCAGUGAAAAGAGGAGGGAGAGACGGAGGAGAGUGAACGAACAACAUAGGCUAGAAAGGGACUCGGAGAAGGGAGAAUCCCACCGACCAUCUGCGUGAGGCGAGAGAGAGGAGGAGGAGGCCAAAGGGAGAGCAGCAGCAGACUGCGCUUUGGAAUAACCUACGGUUCCCUUUGAUUUGAGAGGAGAAUUUUGAAUUGUAUUUAUUAUUCUGCGAGACGUUUUACUAAAUUCCCACAAAAUGUCAUCUUCUGGCAAAGACAACAGCGCACACUAUAUGAACUAUGUGGGACCUUAUCGUUUGGAAAAGACCCUCGGCAAAGGACAGACAGGUUAGUCCUUGUCUCUUGUCUAGCCGUGGAUGAUGUGUAGCCUAUCGCUCCCGGUUGCUGGCUGUCAAUGAAAGCACUGGUUGUCUUUUAUGGGUUAUGCUCACAUGGGCUAGAACAUAUAGGCUACUCUGUAGGUUAUUGUGGAUUGGAUGGAUUUGUUUUAGGUUGCAUCACAGACGUGCGGGCUGGUUGCUUCUAGUUCCCACUGAUUGCUUUUGACUCAUUGCAUCAAUCGGGGUUGAGAGCUUUCAGUCAGUGGGACUGUGCAUUUGAACGUCUGUUGUGGAUUAUCCUAAAAUGCAACUUUCUAAUAAAAGGGAAUACACUGGUCCGCCCUGUAGCCCCCCAGUCAACUGGCUACGGUAAGGCUACAUGUAGUUCACACGGGUUACGUGUGAUUAUUGAAAUGUAAUAAUCAUGUCCCUUUAAUCCUCAUUGCCAGACAACGGGUAGAUGGUAUUCUAAUGUUGCCUUGUAGCGUGUCGCUGUCUUCCAACAUGCACACAUUUUUUGUCGGUUACAAUGCUGCUUCAGGGAAGUCUGCGUUGAUCUUUGCAAAAUAAGACAGGGCAAGCGACUGCACUACACAAGCGUGCUUCUCUGUCAGUCCCUGCAAUGACAAGCACUAGCGCAAUUGCUGCUGCAAUUUCGAUUUUUAAUCCCAAACUACACGCAUGUGGUGAAUUUUGUUUUUAUAAACGAAAGAUUGACGUAGUCUAGUGAUUUUCCUGAUUCCCUAUUUGUAUCCGGCUAAAGCAGUUUUGAAUAAAAAUAAAUAGACUAUGUGGGAGGCAGAGCAUCCCCAAAACGACUAGGCAAUGAUGUGGGUACCACUGUCAUGUGGGUACCACUGUCAUAGGCUAUAGGCUACUUUUUUUGAAGGAUCAAAAGAGACAGAGCCUAUAGGCUAUAGGCUACAAAGUGCAUGCUCAGAGAGGCACAAAGCAAAGUUAUAAUUCUAAAAUGGCUGCUGGGAUGGUGUAAAUAAAACAAGGGUGCAUUACACACUGCAAUGGAUAUUCCAACCUUGAGCUCAUGCUGAUCAAGACCAUUUGUUUGUGCUGUCUAACCAAUGCUGGCGGUGCUGUUUUAAGCCUACAGUGGCAGUUCAGGAGGAGAGUCAAAUAAUUAUUUUCGAAAAUAAUUUAGGAUUAGGUCUAGCCCCCCAAAAAUUCAUUAUCUUGAUUGCGGACUAGUUUAUAGCCUAUGUACUGUUUAAUUUGAGAAGGAGAGGUGGAAGAUGAGCAAGAGGACGGGAGGUCGACUUUGAUAGCUUGCUACUACUAUAAUUGAUUUGAAUAAAAUAUGUUUGUUGACCAUGUUGCAUUUAUCAGAGUUAUUGACCUCACAAUAAGCCAGAUUUGAGUCACUUACAUUGUGGUGCUGAAACCUGAAGCAGCAGUCACGGCAAAAUCAAUUGGAAAUGGACAGCUCAGGGUGCUGAAAGUAGGCACAUUUGAGUAGGCAUAAUACAUUUGACUACUAACAACAACAACAACAUUAGACUACUAACAACAAGAGGGCUUUGUGUUUGAGCCUAUUUCUUCCUAUUCAAGAAAUAAGAGGUAGGCCUUCCUGUUUCACAGACGAAAUUACGCUGUAGGCUGCUAUAUACAGUACCAGUCAAAAGUUUGACACACCUACUCAUGCAAGGGUUUUUCUUUAUUUUGACUAUUUUCUACAUUGUAAAAUAAUAGUGAAGACAUCAAACUAGGAAAUGACAGAUAUGGAAUCAUGUCGUAACCAAAAAAGUGUUAAACAAUUUUUUUAUUUUUUAUAUUUAAGAUUCUUGAAAGUAAGCCAGAUUACUGAAUUGAUGACAGCUUUGCACACUCUUGGCAUUCUCUCAACCAGCUUCAUGCGGUAGUCAACUGGAAUGCAUUUGAAUUAACACGUGUGCCUUGUUAAAAGUUCAUUUGUGCAAUUUCUUUCCUUCUUAAUGCGUUUGAGCCAAUCAGUUGUGUUGUAACAAGGUACGGGUGGUAUACAGACGAUAGCCCUAUUUGGUAAAAGACCAAGUGCAUAUUAUGGCAAGAACAGCUCAAAUAAGCAAAGAGAAACGACAAUCCAUCAUUACUUUAAGACAUGAAGGUCAGUCAAUCUGGAAAAUUUCAAUAACUUUGAAUGUUUCUUCAAGUGCAUUCGCAAAAACCAUCAAGCGCUAUGAUGAAACUGGCUCUCAUGAGGAUCGCCACUGGAAAGGAAGAUCCAGAGUUACCUCUGCUGCAGAGGAUAUGUUCAUUAGAGUUACCAGCAAGCGUUCAAGUAACAGACACAUCUCAACAUCAACUGUUCAGAGGAGACUGUGUGAAUCAGGCCUUCAUGUUUGAAUUGCUGCAAAUAAAUCACUACUAAAGGACACCAAUAAAAGGGCCUCCCGGGUGGAGCAGUGGUCUAGGGCACUGCAUCGCAGUGCUAACUGCGCCACCAGAGUCUCUGGGUUCGCCCCCAGGCUCUGUCGCAGCCGGCCGCGACCGGGAGGUCCGUGGGGCGACGCACAAUUGGGCCAGCGUCGUCCGGGUUAGGGAGGGUUUGGCCGGCAGGGAUUUCCUUGUCUCAUCGCGCUCCAGCGACUCUUGUGGCGGGCUGGGCGCAGUGCGCGCUAACCAAGGGGGGCCAGGUGCACGGUGUUUCCUCCGACACAUUGGUGCGGCUGGCUUCCGGGUUGGAGGCGCGCUGUGUUAAAGAAGCAGUGCGGCUUGGUUGGGUUGUGCUUCGGAGGACGCAUAGCUUUCGACCUUCGUCUCUCCCGAGCCCGUACGGGAGUUGUAGCGAUGAGACAAGAUAGUAAUUACUAGCGAUUGGAUACCACGAAAAUUGGGGAGAAAAGGGGAUAAAAUAAAAAAAUAAAAAAUAAAAAAAAGGACACCAAUAAGAAGAAGAGACUUGCUUGGGCCAAGAAACACGAGUAAUGGACAUUAGACCGGUGGAAAUCUGUCCUUUGGUCUGAUGAGUCCAAAUAUGAGAUUUUAGGUUCCAACUGCUGUGUCUUUCUGAGACGUGGAGUAGGUGAACGGAUGGUCUCUGCAAGUGUGGUUCCCACCGUGAAGCAUGGAGGAGGAGGUGUGAUGGUGUGGGGGUGCUUUGCUGGUGACAUGGUCUAUGAUUUAUUUAGAAUUCAAGGCACACUUAACCAGCAUGGCUACCACAGGAUUCUGCAGUGAUACGCCAUCCCAUCUGGUUUGCGCUUAGUGGGACUAUCAUUUAUUUUUUAACAGGACAAUGACCCAACACACAUCCAGGCUGUGUAAGGGCUAUUGACCAAGAAGGAGAGUGAUGGAGUGUUGCAUCAGAUGACCUGGCCUCCACAAUCACACGACCUCAACCCAAAUGAGAUGGUUUGUGAUGAGUUGGACUGCAGAGUGAAGGAAAAGCAGUGCUCAGUAUAUGUGGGAACUCCUUCAAGACUGUUGGAAAAGUAGUCCAGGUGAAGCUGGUUGAGAGAAUGCCAGGAGUGUGCAAAGCUGUCAUCAAGGCAAAGGGUGGCUACUUUGAAGAAUCUAAAAUCAACACUUUCUUUGGUUACUGCAUGAUUCCACGUGUUUUAUUUCAAGGUUUUGAUGUCAGUAUAAUCUACAAUGUAGAAAAUAGUAAAAAUAAAGAAAAACCCUUGAAUGAGUAGGUAAAUAGAUUUGGUGGUAAAUCCCUCCACCCACCAUGCACCCUUUAAAUAGCUUACCUCAGUGUCAGUGAAGGGUUGUUAAGUUAAAACCAGGACUCGAAUUGAGGGGGUAUGAGACAUAGGCCUACCUAGGGAUGAAACUGUUACCGGUUUCACGAUAAACCACGGUAAAAUUCCCAGCAAUUAGUAUUACUGUUUCAAAUAUUAAUUAUUAUUAAAAACCGUGUUUGAUUACCACGGUUUGAAAAACUCCCGGUAAAUGCUGUCCAGCAUCAACCAAAGUUAGCGAAAGUCUGACGCAGGCGCAUCAUGCAACAUGGGUUUUGUUUUGUGAGAUUUUUCAGCCUUUUUGGGUUUUACAAGAGUGCCGAAGGAAACAUAAUCGAAGAUGGUCACCCUGUCUGCAGAACAUGCAACAACAAUUGCUGCGAAAGGGGGCAACACUUCAAAUCUCUCGAGUCAUCUUCGUGCCCACCACUUCAUAGCGAAUUCAAGAGUGGGCGUGCAGCAGGCAAACCCAGUGAUGCUACCGGUCCCUCCUCAACUGCAGUUGUGACACAGACACUCGAUCAAGCAUUUAAAAGGCAGGCUGCUUAUGCACCCACAUCAAAAAAAAUGCUCAAGACCUCACUGCAGCCCUUUCAUAUCACAUUGCAAAGGACAUGAUGCCAUUUCAAAUUGUUGAGAGGCCUGGCUUUCUGAGGCUGAUGAAGGUUGCCGUGCCUCACUACAAAGUGAGUGCUGCUAAUUGUAUUUGUUUGUUUAUUUGAUUUGCUUACUUAAGGUUGUGUUCAUUAAAACCUGCACAAGGGACAUUUUUACCUCUCAUGGCCACAUGGUGCCAUCUUUAAUGUUAAUGUUAUUAUUUGAAUGUUUAUGCACACAAAAAGUGCAUAGUGCUGCUAAUUUGAUCUGUUGUUUGUUGGAUUUCAAAAUAAAACUUGGUGAAAUGA